AUCUAUAUAGCUUAUAUAAAAGUUUAAUAUUGAAGAUAUUAAGAAAAUAAUUAAUUAUUUUUAGAUA
rnacentral:tRNA from 1 species